AACGAACGCUGGCGGCAUGCCUAACACAUGCAAGUCGAACGAACCCUCCGGGUCUAGGGGCUCACGGUUUCGUAAGGCGUGGGAACCGGCACUUAUGUUCGGAAUAACUCCCCGAAAGGGGUGCUAAUACCGAAUCAUGUCUUCUGCCCGAGGAUUUAUCGCCUUUGAAUGGGCCCGCGUGGAAUUAGAUAGUUCGUAGGGUAAAAGCCGACCAAGGCGUGGAUCCAUAGCUGGGCUGAGAGGAUGGUCAGUCACACUGAGACUGAGACACGGCCCAGAAUCCUACGGGAGGCAGCAGUGGGGAAUAUUGGACAAUGGGCGAAAGCAUGAUCCAGCAAGGACGGGUGAGUGAUGAAGGCCGUAGAGUUGUAAAGCUCUUUUACCCGGGAUGAUAAUGACAGUACCGGGAGAAUAAGCCACGGCUAACUCCGUG
rnacentral:rRNA from 1 species